rnacentral:lncRNA from 1 species
UACAAUAGGUAUUAAAAAUACAAACAUUUAAUUAUUAAAACAUAAUAUAAAAAUUAUCGUUUACCACGAAAUGGUCCCGCCUCAGCAUAAUGCUAACCAUACAGUCAGCGCUGGUCUUCCGGCGACACCAUUUGUGGGCCACGGACGCAAACGUGCAACACGGCCUUAAUAUAACUUGAACGCGCCCAUUUGUCAUUCUUGGGUCGACGCCAUCUUGUUGCGCCUGCGCGCUGCACGAUGGGUUAGGUGUCAUGAUGACAUUCAUAUGACAUUUGAGAACUGAGAAAACGAAAACCAUGUUGCACGUUUCACGAUUGAUAUAAAAUUACAAUUCUACAUUUCAAACAGUUCAAUCUGCUAAAAAAGUAAUAACUACAUGGAACAAGCAUAACGUUAACUCGUUACACGGAAAAAUAAGUGCAAUAAUACAUUGAUUAAGUUCUUUGUUACAAAAGCGUUUACGUUGCCGAAGCGUGUGUGCUCCGAAGUGCCAAGAAACAAUAUGCAUACAGUUAUCACCUAUAUAAGUGACGAUUGGGUUACAACAAUUAUACCCACAAGUUACGAUGCGGCAAUAAAUUGCGAAAACGCGGACACGAGAUCAACAAGUGCGCUUUGGCUGUGUCUGUAAAGAAAGGACAUAAAACAGGUUCCUGAGGGGAGGAGGAAUGUUGUUCCAGCAGCGACUGGCCAAGUACUUAAAACUACCACGAAAUGCUGCUGAGGUGUGUCGAGGCGUCACCAGUUGAACACUGCAGUUACGAGCCCCUAACGAUCUACGAGUGGACAUCCAUGAUAGCUUCUCAAAAAGAUAUGACGGAGAUUUGUAUUUAAUCGUACCAAAAAGAAGACAAGCCAGAUGAAGUUUGCGACGGUGCAACAUUUUAAGAAUGUUAUGAUCAUUCAAAAACGGAGUUACAUGGGCUCUUGGUGGGAUAUUGAAGCAGUAACGAGCACACGCAUUUUGUACCCGCUGAAUGAGUCGUUUCGUUUUUGCUAGGAGACAAGAACCA